AACGGCCAUACCAUGCUGAAUAUACCGGUUCUCGUUAGAUCACCGAAGUCAAGCAUCAUUGGGCGCGGUCAGUACUUGGGUGGGUGACCACCUGGGAACCCCGUGUGCCGUU